AUAUAUUUACUAUUUUAACUGCUAUAACACAAAGAGUAUCCUUAACUACAUAGGCAAUAAUCCUCUUAUUAACGGACAAUAAUUUCUUAUUUUUAAAUUCUACGACAUUUCUUCGACUUAAGCUGAAACCUCUCCUUUCACAGGAUUGUAAUGGGCAGAAGCCUUUCAUCCAUGGUUAAAGUCACUCUGUGUAAUGGACGACAAUCUUACUCCAUGAGCUAAAAGCUAAAGUCACAGUCAUACUCCAAGAGCUAAAAACUAAAUAACUUUUUUCUAUAAUUCUAUUAUAGAUAGUGUUAAUUUUCUCAAUUUUAAUCUAAUUAGGAGUUCUACUCAAUUUAGAAUUAAUACUAAAAUAAGAAUUAUGCUCUAUAUAGAAAAUAUUCCUCUAUCAUAUUCAAUAAUAUUUCUCCCACUUAAAUUAGAAAAAAUUCUUUCCAAAUUAUACUAAGAUUUUAAGUUAUAAUUUUAACACAUAAUAUUUAGGAUUGAUUUAAAACCAUAUCAUCAUCCAAUUUCAUUCAAAAAUUAAAUCAGUUUCUAAUCAGCAACCAAUUCGAAUCAAUCUGCUAAUUCUCUAUGUAGAGCAGUUGUUUCUACAUCCGAUGAGAAUGAAUGGGCUAUUGUCCCCUUUCAUUUCUUGAAGAUAUACUGCACUUUGAUAAGAUUUAGUAAUAGUACAUUCUAUUUUUAUUAAAAAAAAAAAAUUUAAGUGUAAA
rnacentral:misc_RNA from 1 species